AGCUUAACACAGAGAGUAGCUCUGUUCCCGAGUUCCUCUCUUCUCCUUCGAGCUGGAGCGGUGUUAAACAGGAAGUGCACGUGCUUGUUAGGGAUGUGCAUGAAUUGUUUUGGUGCGGCCUGACAAAUCGUUUUGGCGGGGCAUGGAGCGGUGGCCAUGUGUGUCCCACUGCCGUACGCAGGCUGCUGGGUCAUGCUCUGCGGCCGUGAGUGGACUUCUGAGCGGUGCAGCGCCACACCUGGAGAAGCAGCAGAGGAGCAGAGAACGUCUAUUUCCGCAUGAUCUCCACUGCCCAUUGAUGAGGCCAUCUGGCGGCAACUUUCUCUGCAGCCACCCCUGACCUUUGGAACCCACUCCCUGUUGAGAUACAUGGAUUGGCAUCGUUGGUGGCCUUUAAGAAGGCCUUGAAAACACAUCUUUUUAGUCAGGUGUUUAGUUCAGGUUUUUAAUUGCCUUUAUCUGUUUUGAUCUUUUAAUUGUGUAUAUGUGUUUGUGUUGAUUGGCAGCAUAUAAAUGUAAUAAAAUAAAUAAAAUACAGAAGGCCGUUGUCAUAUAAAUA